rnacentral:rRNA from 1 species
GAUGAACGCUAGCGACAGGCCUAACACAUGCAAGUCGUACGAGAAAGCCGGCUUCGGCUGGUGAGUAAAGUGGCGCACGGGUGAGUAACGCGUGGAUAAUCUGCCCUUAAGUGUGGAAUAACGUACCGAAAGGUGCGCUAAUACCGCAUAAUGCCUGGCAACACAAGUUGUCCGGCCAAAGAAGGCCUCUGUUUACAAGCUUUCGCUUCAGGAUGAGUCCGCGUACCAUUAGCUUGUUGGUGGGGUAAUGGCCUACCAAGGCUGCGAUGGUUAGCUGGUCUGAGAGGAUGAUCAGCCACACUGGAACUGAGACACGGUCCAGACUCCUACGGGAGGCAGCAGUGAGGAAUAUUGCGCAAUGGGGGCAACCCUGACGCAGCAACGCCGCGUGAGUGAGGAAGGUUUUCGGACUGUAAAGCUCUGUCGAGCGGGAAGAAGUGUACCAUGGCUAAUAUCCAUGAUAUUUGACGGUACCG